rnacentral:misc_RNA from 1 species
UUGGUGGAGAAUGCUGACGAAUGCAUGGUGCUUGACAAUGAAGCGCUUUAUGACAUCUGCUUCCGGACCCUAAAGCUGAGCACUCCAAGCUUUGGUGACCUGAACCACUUGAUCUCUGCAACUAUGAGUGGUGUAACAUGCUGCCUGAGGUUCCCAGGACAGCUCAAUUCAGACCUUAGGAAGCUGGCUGUCAAUCUGAUCCCAUUUCCACGGCUCCACUUCUUUAUGGUAGGAUUUGCGCCACUUACUUCUCGUGGUUCCCAGCAGUACAUCUCCCUCACUGUCCCAGAGCUUACUCAGCAAAUGUGGGA